rnacentral:rRNA from 1 species
ACGGAGGGUGCAAGCGUUGCUCGGAAUCACUGGGCGUAAAGCGUACGCAGGCGGCUUGUUAAGUCGGGUGUGAAAGCCCGGGGCUCAACCCCGGAACUGCAUUCGAAACUGGCAGGCUUGAGUACGGGAGAGGGAAGCGGAAUUCCUGGUGUAGAGGUGAAAUUCGUAGAUAUCAGGAGGAACACCCGUGGCGAAAGCGGCUUCCUGGCCCGAUACUGACGCUCAUGUACGAAAGCGUGGGGAGCAAACAGG